AAUUCCCGAAGUGAGCGUUGGAGCUGGGGACAGUGACAUCCACCUGUUACAGGUGAGCCAAGGGAGACUCAGAGAAGCCAAUGGCUUGGCCAAGGUCACCCAGCAAGGGAGAGCCCCGGAUGAGAACAAAGGGGCCCACGAUGCUGAGAGUCCAGAAGGAAGUGAGAAUGUUCUCGAACCCCACUCCAGGCAGAAGGCCUCUCCUCUCCCCCACGCACCCUCGGUGACCUGCAGAGCCGGCCCCCCGGGGCUCUGGGAUCUCAUCUUAUCGGCCCCAUCGGCACUUGUCACAGCCUCUUUUAUGGUCUGUGUACUCUGACAUGCGUCCGUGUUGGUAGUGACGUUCCUUCAUUCCGACAGUAUUUGCUGAACGUCAGGGAGGGGCCCUUGCUUAUUAAUUUACUAUCCAGCAAACACCACGACACUCUUGCGGGCCAGCCAUGGCCCUGGGUGUGUGGCCGGGGGCCAGGGGCCGGGUCCCCGUGUGGCCUGUCCCCGCGGAGGGCCGGGGUGUGGUGGGCGUGGGCGGUGGCUCUGGGAGGCAGAACCGGACCGAGGCCUAGUGGCCGCGCUCACGUUGACAGACCCGGGAUGUGCCUACAGGCCCACGGCUCAAGGCUGGAGGAACUUGGGAUUCAGACGCAAGCCUCUCCGGGGCCCCAGCUGUGGGGGCGACCUUGGGCCAAAGUCCCCAUUAGGGGAGUCCCGUGCUGCCUAAAAAGGAGCCAGGUACCCAUCCACGGCUGGGGGUACGGAAGCCACAGGGGUCUGUGGGCCUCCUCCUGGACAUGUGUCCCUUCUAAGCAUUACCCGGAUUGUGGGGCCCCAGGAGCCCACUCUACAAGCAGACCUUGGUGGGUCCGUUUCGGGCAUGUGAUGGGGGUUGGGGUCUGUGUAGGAACCAGUAACUGCAUUUCAGACCGUAAGCCUCCCACCCUUUCGGGGACCCUGGGACCUCUUUGGGGCUGACCCAGAGGGUGCAGUCUGGCCCAGGGGCUUGAGGGCAGCGAUGCUAUUGGUAAGACUCUUAAAUCUGCAGAAUCCUUCAUCAGGGAGAAGAGGUGCAGAAGGCUGGGGAAGGGGAGAGGGAAGCUGCGGGCCAGAAGCGAGAGGGACCCAGUUCCGGCCUUGCUGAGCUGUCCCACCUGCAGGCACCUGAAGGCAGCCCCACGCACUAAACCUGCACUAAACCCGGAUCCAGUCUGUGGGUCUCACCCGCCCUGAAAGACCCCAUCCCCAUCCAUAGCAGAGAGGUGUGUACCCCACGCAAAAUGCAGAAGUGCCGGUUUGUUGGUCUCCACGCCUCUGCAAAGCCAAGGGUCCAGCUCCCCUGGAAAUACCAUAACCCCAGGGUCCCCCCAUCCCUUCCACGCUGCCCUGCUUCAGGCUGGCCGACUCCGUGACCCAAAAAGUUCACCCGUACAUAUCUCCCUGGCUCAGGGGGUCACGUCGCCCAGUUGAGCAGUCAAGACCAAGUCCUGGGGCCCAGGUCCAUCUAAAUGAAUCGUUUCACAGAACCUGGGGAUUUAUCAGCAAAUCGAGAAGACGCCUGCAAAUGUGCCUGGAAAGAGGACCCGACCCUGCUCUUUGGGUGGGUGGGUGGGAUCCUCCCAGAGGGCACCUGCCCAGGGGUCAGAGGGUCACGGGCACUUUCUUUCUCAAGUUUUCCAGUGUGGACAGAAGACAGGGUGGGGCCAGAUGCCCGGAACCGGUCCUGAUUGGGGGGGAAAUGCCACCAGGGGUCAUCCCGUCUGCUCCCCACCCCACAGUCUCUGUUCCUGGUUGAUGUUGUUGUUGUUGUUAUUGUUUUGUCUCAGCUAAUUGUUGGUCAAAGACACUUGGGUUUCCCUUUGCAGGACACGGGGGCCACGUCUCAGAAAGCCGGCUUCCGGCUGAGCUAAUACAAAAAGCCAGAGCUUGUCCCCGCCCCGCCCACCUCCCACCCCAGCUGCCCAUCUGCCAAUGGAGACCAGCUAGCGGGCCGCACCUCACUAACUCACCAACUCUUGAUCACGAGUAUCAUCCUUCUGUUUUUACUUUGAACGGGGCCCAAUCCUUUGCCUUUUCCAGGUCUCUUUAGUCAUUUUGGGGUAACCCUCUCAGAAUCUUCUGCGUGUCCUCCUAGAGCUGCUGACCAGACAGUGACCACUGGCCUCCAGGGAGCCCAGUCCAGCACCCUGACCUCCCCUCCCAGCGGGACUCCCGUGAUCGCGGCCACUGGGACCUUCAGCGCCUCUUUCUGUUGUGCGUACUCAUGGCCUGGAAUCAAUGAACUUCGUGUCUGGUCCUUGGAGAAGGCCUCCUGUUUGGCUGACCAGCCCGUGUCCUCCAUUGCUUGGGGGGGUUUCGAACCUGCUCCCGUCCCCGUCCGUGGUGCCCGACCUCUGCUGCAGCAUCCCGAUUGCAGCACCCAGACAUCGACCCAGAACAUCGUUAAGGCCUUCCCUCCAAUGACCCAAAAUAAAAAGUGGCCCCUUUUUGUUCAGUGUCAGAUAGCUGAUGGGAGAGCGGUGGCUUCUGACCUGCUGAGGACGUGGGGACGGAGUGGCCUAUUUUCAAGCCACUUUAUCUAAAUGACGGUACAGGCCCCAGGAGCCCAGAGAUCUGGGCACUAUCCUGUGAUGCAGGGAGAGGAGGGCGGGGAGGGAGCACACGAGGAGGGGGCUUCUGGGGAGUCCGGGUGCCAAACCCGAGUGUGGCCCUUGAGGCCAGCAGCAGGUGUCGGGGUGUGAAAGUGACCACGUGGGCCUGUCCCCUUCCACCCCAGGUGGCUGCAAGGAGGCGGAGAGGCGCGCGCACCUGUGCCCACAGGCAAGGCCACACACAUGCCCUUCUGUAGCGAGGUCACUUCAUGCCACAUCCUCAGAUGGGUGGGUGGAGAAGGAGGCACACCGGGGUCAAUGGGGCUACUGACGCGAUUGGGCCUGACAGAGAAGAGUGGGGAGAGGCUGCUCAGCCCCCGGGUGUUUUGGGUUUGCCCCGUGGGCCCUGGCGGCGUGGACGUCUGAGUGGCUUAUCCUUGCUCCCUGGAGGGUUUGCAGGGCUGUGGUGCACCUGCCCCUGAAGCCCCAGGGAUGUGCUCGCUCAGUCCCCUGGAGCAGGUGCACGGUGCAAUGGUACCAGGCCUCCCUAUAGGAGGUCACUCACUUUGAAGUGAACGAGACCCCCAGGAACAUCCCCUCUGGCACUAGCUGAGGUAGAGAUACCGUGAGUGGUGUAGACGGCUGUCUACACUGCAGCAGAAGCCGCUCCCACACAGGGUCCUGGGGACCGCAGGAAGGCGGACAGCUCGGCCUUUCCGGGGUGGCCCAUGAAGAGCCUGGCUCACUGGAGCAGCAUGUCCCCGUGGCCGUGACACUAGGUUGUUAUUUAGGGGAGGACAAGUGGAGCAAAGACAAACAUCCUGCUGGAGCAUCCUGGUUGGACCAGACCCAGGGAGCCAGCUGCCCGACAGUUCUGAGAGGACCUUCCGGGUGGGGUCAGGGGCAGUCUGGCCCAAGGUGGGGGUUCACAAGGGGCCCCAUCCCUCUGCAGGACUGAGCUGUGGGGGCUGGACCAUCCAUCUCGGAGGACGAGCUGCUCCCACCCUGGGUUCCAGGCCCCAUCUCCGCCCGUUUCAGAUCCCAGGUGAGGGCUGGGGCUUGGCUUUCCAGCAUGAUGGGGAAAUAGCACAUUACCCCCCAGAAAGGGCCAAGCUUUCUCUAUUUGGAGCCACCAGGCAUGCGCGGAGGCUGAUGCAUCGCCUGUCCUGCUGCCCGCCCACACCCCCGGCCUGGUGGCACCUGCCCAGCUGGCCUCAGGCAGGGGCACCCAUGCAUGCAGAGCUGGGCCGAUGAGGCCAGGUAGGUGGAGCCUGAGGCGGGCCCUGCAGACAUGAGACAUCCAGCGGUGUAGACAUCCAGAAGAGCUUCACACUUGUCCCCUGCCUCUUGCAGGCCAAGAAUGGAAAGGCACAUGCAGCAGUGGAAAUGCGUGGCCCCGUCCUUAGGGCUGGAGCCCAACACCCCACCCCGGUGCUCCAGGAGGACCCAGAACAACCCCCAGCCUCCCCUUGGGCCCCCUCCCACAGCCCCCAAGGCCUGGCCCCGCAGCACAGCACGGCUCGGAGGGCUUGGUGGGGCUGCGAGGUGAGAGGCACAGAUGCAGCUUCUCACCCCCGCUCCGCCCCCCUGCAACAAGGUCAAAUUCACCUUGUUUGCCUCCUGAAAAAAGUUCUCAAAUGCAAGACUCCAGCUUUUCCUGAAACCGGAGCCCUGGCAGCUGAGUCUCAAUAAAACACUGUGUGUGCUUCCAGGCGCUGGGGCCGGUCUCGGGGCCCCCACUUGCUGGGGGUUCACAGGCCUUCCCCAGCCUUUCAUUAACUCUCCCACCGACCUCUCCAAGGCGGAGGCAGGAGCCGCCCUUGCUCUGGGCCCUGCAGGCCCUGGCCUGCCCUCCUGCACCCCCGCUCCGUCCGCCGUCCACUUGCUCCCCGCCCCCCCCAUCCUGGAGUCCCCGAGAAGUAUCUGCAGGGCCUUCCUUGCUCUUCUGUGGGGACCCUCUGUGCCCAGCACCGGGCCCUGCCGCGGAUGUCCCGGAGGCGCCAUAGAGCACACAUUUGUUGUCAAUAGGAUUUUAUUUACUUUCCAGGGGAAUCCAGGAGAGCCGGAAGCACUGUUGGGGCCAUGGUGACGGGGUGGGUCGUGGCGACCAGUCCUGGGCCUGGGGCAGGGCCUGACUGACAGGUAAUUGUAUUCAUAAAACAGAACAAAACAGAGAGAAAGCACUGCUUGCCACGGACGAGGGCAUCUGCUGGUAAUAGUGGACAGUCCGUUAAAAUUUUCCUUGAACAGCAGACCCCCGCCCUCUAACCAGACGUGCUGGGAGAGAAGAUGGCCAAGCUGCUUGAGCUCUCUGAAUCACAUGUCAUCUUCCCACUUAGAAAGUCGACGCGAUGUAGCUAAAGGACCAGAUGCCCGCAGGCCGCGCGCGCCUCCGCCCUGCUCCCCGGAGGCCCAGGGUCGCCCCUCUCCUGGUCCUCCAGCACCGCCCAGGAGGCCGCAGUCCUAGCUCGGCUGGUUUCCACCGUGGACGGGGAGGACCCUGCGUGCACGCGCCACAUCCCUGCUCCAGAGCCUUGCACGCCCACGCAGACCGACGUCUUGCAGGGUCGCUGGGGUUCCGGUUCCUGGUUGAUUUUUCUUGGUGGCAGGAGUGGGGUGAACUUUACGGAAGAGGCACAGAGAGGUUUCCCGUGGGCGGGGUACACGCAGCACGGUGGGCGUGAGAGGGAGCGGGCUCGCUGACGAGCUCCGGAGUCCGGGGGCACGUGGCCGCGCGCGGGCAAGGCUGCAGCAGGCCGAGCUCCGGGCUCUUUUCCCUGAGUGGCGGGGUGAGGCCCCGGGGGCUUGGUAAACCACCCUCAGGGCAGCUUUCCCAUGGACGGUCAGUGGGGUGGGGUGGGGUGGGGUGGGCGGCACCCUUCUCAUCCUACAGAUGGGGAAACCGAGGCUCAAGACCACUUGCCCCCUAGGGGAGCCCUGGCCUCGGGCUUCACAACCACGGAGGCCAUGUGUUUGCCUUUGGGGCAGUUCCCUUUGAGCCCGGAGCUUCCAGACACGGUUUUCACUCCAAGGGGCGGCCUGGCCGCCAGGCUAACGGGAUCCUGGGCUGUCCGCCUCCUU
rnacentral:lncRNA from 1 species